UACGUAGGGUGCAAGCGUUAAUCGGAAUUACUGGGCGUAAAGCGUGCGCAGGCGGUGAUGUAAGACAGUUGUGAAAUCCCCGGGCUCAACCUGGGAAUGGCAGUGGAAACUAGGGGACUGGAAUCUGGCAGAGGGGGGUGGAAUGCCGCGUGUAGCAGUGAAAUGCGUAGAGAUGCGGCGGAACACCGAUGGCGAAGGCAGCCCCCUGGGCUGAGAUUGACGCUCAGGCACGGAAGCGUGGGGAGCAAACAGG
rnacentral:rRNA from 1 species